rnacentral:rRNA from 1 species
UGCGUAGGCGGCUUUUUAAGUUUGGUGUGAAAUCUCCCGGCUCAACUGGGAGGGUGCGCCGAAUACUGAGAGGCUAGAGUGUGGGAGAGGAAAGUGGAAUUCCUGGUGUAGCGGUGAAAUGCGUAGAUAUCAGGAGGAACACCGGUGGUGUAAACGGCUUUCUGGACCAUAACUGACGCUGAUGCACGAAAGCGUGGGUAGCAAACAGGAUUAGAUACCCUGGUAGUCCACGCCCUAAACGAUGCAUAUUUGGUGUGGGCCAUUCAUUUGGUCCGUGCCGGAGCUAACGCGUUAAAUAUGCCGCCUGGGGAGUACAGUCGCAAGGCUGAA